GGAACAGACUGCGAGGCCCAGCGAAGCUGCCUGUUUAUCGUCCCUUCCUCUGAGCCGGACACUGUGGCCUCACUUAAUCCUCAAACCCUCCCAAGGGCAGUAAGUGCCAACAAAUAUUGUUGAACGCUAGAUGAAGGAUCUCGUCACCCGCUGGGAAUGACAAGAUUUACACAUCCCAAGUAGAGGACCACAUAGAAAGGAGAGGCAGACUGAAAGACGCCUCUAAACAUCCCCUUGAUGCUGACUGAAUCACCCACAUGAGCGGAUACAGGAGCGCUCAAGCUACCACUGCCUGCCACCCACCUUCCUAGCAGGUGUGCUUGUGCUGUUACUUUGCUACUUGAUAAAGCAUUGUUCUAUCAGGGUGACCGGGAAGUAGAAACACAAAGGGCCGGUUGCCAUGAGCAGAAGGUGGGUCUCACUCAUGGAAUACAGGCACUUUACACACAUGAUCCCACUGAAUGCUAACAGCUCCACGUGGUACCUACGGUCAUGAUCUCCUCUCUACGGAUGGAAAAAUAGGAGCUUGGGG
rnacentral:lncRNA from 1 species